UUCUCAAGCGCCUUAUCAACACCACUGCAUUUUUGGGCAUGCAAUAAUUGGCUUUUAGAGGGCACGACGAGAGGGAAAGUUCUGCUAAAAAGUGCAACUACAAGGAGCUUGCAGAGCUAAGUCCCCUCCUGUUCUCUGAUUUAAGAGGUGAUGACCACUCCACUACCAAUGUCAACUCUCUCCUGACAUGAACUGAAGCCAAGUCUCAUGUGCCCGGUCAUCCACUGGCACAUUGAAUGUUUCCUUUCCAAGCACUUCAAAUCCUGUCCUGCACUGAAGUCAAGCCUCUGAACA